rnacentral:rRNA from 1 species
ACGGAAAGGCCCUGCUUGCAGGGUACUCGAGUGGCGAACGGGUGAGUAACACGUGGGUGAUCUGCCCUGCACUUCGGGAUAAGCCUGGGAAACUGGGUCUAAUACCGGAUAGGAGCCAUUUUUAGUGUGAUGGUUGGAAAGUUUUUUCGGUGUAGGAUGAGCUCGCGGCCUAUCAGCUUGUUGGUGGGGUAAUGGCCUACCAAGGCGGCGACGGGUAGCCGGCCUGAGAGGGUGGACGGCCACAUUGGGACUGAGAUACGGCCCAGACUCCUACGGGAGGCAGCAGUGGGGAAUAUUGCACAAUGGGCGCAAGCCUGAUGCAGCGACGCCGCGUGGGGGAUGACGGCCUUCGGGUUGUAAACUCCUUUCGCUAGGGACGAAGCUUUUUGUGACGGUACCUAGAUAAGAAGCACCGGCUAACUACGUGCCAGCAGCCGCGGUAAUACGUAGGGUGCGAGCGUUGUCCGGAAUUACUGGGCGUAAAGGGCUCGUAGGUGGUUUGUCGCGUCGUCUGUGAAAUUCCGGGGNUAACUCCGGGCGUGCAGGCGAUACGGGCAUAACUUGAGUACUGUAGGGGUAACUGGAAUUCCUGGUGUAGCGGUGAAAUGCGCAGAUAUCAGGAGGAACACCGAUGGCGAAGGCAGGUUACUGGGCAGUUACUGACGCUGAGGAGCGAAAGCAUG